rnacentral:lncRNA from 1 species
AUGGCGCUGCUCCGCGGCGCCAGCCCCGCCCCCAGGGCCGGCCCCGGCCCCGCGAUUGGCUCCGCUCGUUCGUGUCCGCCAAUGGCAGCCUGCGCUGCCCGUGACGUCACCGCGGCCCGGCGGCGCACGGAAGUGAACGUGCCCGCGGGAGCGCUGCGGGAGAGAAUUGCUGGGGAUCCCAGCAGACCCUGCCGGACCCCCUGGGACCACUCUGCAGGAAUGAAGAAGAAGAAGGAAUAUGCAUGUGCCCUGGAAUCCAGGUUGACGAUAGACCACCAGCUCUACCGCAGAGUUGAAACUCUGGAAAAAGAUUUCCAAAAAGGUCUGGACAACAUAAACCAUGAGCUUAAGUAUGUCAGAGCAGAGCUGCAGAACAACCAAGGAAAGAACGAGGAGGAUAUUCCAUUGAUCCCAGAAACAUUGUUGAAGAAGAACAAGCAAGAGUUAUCAGAAAAAAUCAAGACUGUGAAAGAUGAUGUAGAGCAAAGUAAGGAGGACAUAAAUCAUAAGCUUCAGAAACUCAGAGAUGAGCUGGAGGAGGAGAACCAAGGAAUGAAGAAGGAGAAGGAGCGUGCAUGGGCCCUGGAAUCCAGGUUGAAGAGGAAAAUGCGGCAGUUUUCCAGAAGAACCGAAACUCUGCAAGAAGAUGUAGAGGAAUGGCCAGAGACCAUAAUGCUUGAGCUUCAGGUUCGCGGAGGAGUGCUGAAGAACAUGAAAGGUGAGCAGGGCCGUUGCCAUGCAGACUUUCACCCAUCUGAAGGCAGAAGCUGCUCUACAGGCCAAGCACCCUGUGAACUCAUCCUGCUCAGCUCCUCAGAGGCCAUGGGCAGGGACAGUCCUUCCAUGAGGAGCAGCUUCUGUGGUCCAUGGCACUGA